rnacentral:rRNA from 2 species
GGUUGCGUUCAUACCAGCACUAAUGCACCGGAUCCCAUCAGAACUCCGUAGUUAAGCGUGCUUUGGCGAGAGUAGUACUAGGAUGGGUGACCUCCUGGGAAGUCCUCGUGUUGCAACCC